GUCCUGGGUUAGGAUAGUACCCUCCCCUGUACUGGGUUAAGAUUAGGUUACUGUAUGUGUUGAGUGGCGGUUUUGUUUGACAGAUUGUCAAGACUAUCCGUUUUAUUCUGGUUGUGAUUUAAGACUGUACAUUUUAUUCUGAUUGUGAAGGAGGAACUCCCAUUUCUAUUUGAUGAUUAAUUCAGGUCAGAUUAUUAUUUGUCUAUUACAGUAAGGCUUGUUGAGUAUCUGGGUGUAUUACAUAGUGUGUUUUCUCUUUUAAGGGCCAUAUUCUUCUCCCUCAUGACACUAUCUAACCCUAACCCAAUAAGGGCUUGGUGAGGGUAUCCAGAUGUAUUAUUAUCAGGUGUAUGGACAGUUUAUUAGGUACACCCAUCUAGUACCGGGUCGGACCCCCAUUUGCCUCCAGAACAGCCUGAAUUCUUCGAGCAUGGAUUCUACAAGUCGGAAAUGUUCCACAGGGAUGUUGGUCCAUGCUGACGCGAUGGCAUCAUGCAGUUGCUGCAGAUUGGACAGCGGUCCACCACCACCAGCCUGUACUGCUGACACCAGGCAGGACGGGUCCAUGGACUCAUGCUGUUUACGCCAAAUCCUGACUCUGCCAUCAGCCUGUACCGCUGACACCAGGCAGGAUGGGUCCAUGGACUCAUGCUGUUUACACCAAAUCCUGACUCUGCCAUCAGCCUGUACCGCUGACACCAGGCAGGAUGGGUCCAUGGACUCAUGCUGUUUACACCAAAUCCUGACCAGGCAAUAUUUCUACACUUCUCAAUUGUCCAGUGUUGGUGAUCGCGUGCCCACUGGAGCCCUGUGUGGUUGUCUGCUGCAAUAGCCGAUCCGUGAAGGAUCCACGAGUUGUGUGUUCCGAGAUGCCGUUCUGUACACCACUGUUGUUCUGCGUUGUGAUUUGUCUGUUUGUGGUCCGCUUGCGUGAUUCUUGCCGUUCUCCUUCGACCUCUCUCAUCAAUGAGCUGUUUUUGCCCACAGGACUGCCGCUGACUGAAUGUUUUUUGUUGGUCAAACCGUUCUCGGUAAAGGUCGUCUGCUGUUUCUGAGAGACUGUAUCCGGCGUGCCUGGCACUGACCAUCGUUGCUUAGGUCUCUUGUUUUGCCUAUUCUAACGUUCAAUCCAACAGUAACUCAAUGCCUCAAUGCCUAUAUGCAUGCUAUAUAUAGCAAGCAACGGCCACGUUACCCACUGUCUGGAGCGAUCCGUUUUGGAGAACUAGGUGCUGUACCUAAUAAACUGGCUGAUGUAUAUCAAGGUGUAUCAUACCAUUGUUUUCCUCUGUAAGUGUUCUGUUCCUCUGGGGCCUGAUGACAUCCUUACAGGAACACCUGAGAUCUGACCGCUCUUUACAGUUUCUAAUACAAUUUACUACUGAAAUGCCCAUGGUGUCUGUGUCAUUUAAUCGAUUCAUCAAAAAUGUCUGUAUGUACAGUCGCUAAUGAAAGAAUACACACCCUUUUCAUAUUUUGCUGCCUUAAAAUUUUAUCUAAAAAGGGAUUACAUUCGAUUUUUACCCCACCAAUCUACACUACCUACUCCACA
rnacentral:lncRNA from 1 species